GGGAAUGUGGCUUAGUAGUAAAGUGCUUGCCUAGCAUGCAUGAAGCCCUGGGUUCGCUUCUCAGUACCA
rnacentral:tRNA from 1 species